rnacentral:rRNA from 1 species
AUGUAUAAGUGUAACCUGCCAGACAGGGAAACUGCGUACGGCUCAUUACACCAGCUAUAAUUUACUUGACCUUGACUUCUUACUUGGAUAACUGUGGUAAUUCUAGAGCUAAUACAUGCACCAAAGCUCCAAUCUUCCCAGAGCGGAGCGCAUUUGUUCGCCACAAAACCAAGCGCCUUCGGGCGUCCAGUGUUGACUCAGAACAACUAAGCUGAUCGCACGGUCUUGUACCGGCGACGUGUCUUUCAAGUGUCUGCCUUAUCAACUUUCGAUGGUAGUGUACCUGACUACCAUGGUGAUGACGAGUAACGGAGGAUAAGGGUUCGACUCCGGAGAAGGGGCCUGAGAAAUGGCCACUACGUCUAAGGAUGGCAGCAGGCGCGCAAAUUACCCACUCUCAACAUGAGGAGGUAGUGACGAGAAAUAACGAGACCGAUCUCUUAUGAGGCCGGUCAUCGGAAUGGGUACAAUUUAAACCCUUUAACGAGUAUCUAUGAGAGGGCAAGUCUGGUGCCAGCAGCCGCGGUAAUUCCAGCUCUCAAAAUGCAUAGAAUUAUUGCUGCGGUUAAAAAGCUCGUAGUUGGAUCUGUGCUAGCCGGCCGGUCCACCCACUGGGUGUGCACUGGUUCGGUUGGCUUUUCUGCCGGUCUCUCCCCGGCGUUGGCCUUCACUGGUCGGCGUCGGUGGGCUGGCGAGUUUACUUUGAACAAAUCAGAGUGCUUCAAACAGGCGUUUCGCUUGAAUGUUCGUGCAUGGAAUAAUAGAAGAGGAUUUCGGUCCGAUUUCAUUGGUUUUGCUGACCGAGAUAAUGGUUAACAGAGACAAACGGGGCCAUUCGUAUUGCUACGUGAGAGGUGAAAUUCUUGGACCGUAGCAAGACGGACUACAGCGAAAGCAUUUGGCAAGAAUGUCCUCAUUAAUCAAGAACGAAAGUCAGAGGUUCGAAGGCGAUCAGAUACCGCCCUAGUUCUAACCGUAAA